UCUUCUUUCUUCCUCUUCUUCUCUGUUGUCCUGCUCGUGAUUUCGGUGAGAAGGUUUAAUGAGUUUGAGAUUGAAAUCUAGGGGAAAUAUUAAGAAUUGAUAGCUGGAGAUGAUGAUGUGAAUUAUUGAGCCGGUAUGAGAAGAAAUUGUUGCUGUAAAUUAGAAGUUACGGUUUCUGGAAGAAUUCAAAGAUGAAUUAGAAGAUGUAAUUGAUGUUUUAAGAAGGGGAUUUGAUAUGGGUAUUGAUCGAUUGGAUGAAUUAGGGUUAGAGAUGAAGAGUAAUUCGAGUUUGAUGAAGUUAGGGUUUUGAAGCUGUAAAUGAAACUAGGGUUCCUAUGUAAAUCAAAGAUGGUGAUGAAGAUUGUUGGGUGUUUAUAUUUUUGAUAUGAUUAUUCAAUUGAGGCAAAGGAAGGAAGAAUUCGACCUCAGUUGCCUGAACAACACUGAUUUAAGGUAAUUGUUCUUGUUAGUACAAUUGAUUCAAGUUCAUUAUAAAGUUUAUGAGUUGUUCAAUGAAUUGAGAACUGAGAUGGAUGUGUGUGUAUGUGAAUGGUGUUGUAAUAGAUGAACUGAAUUGUUGUGGUUGAAUUGGAUUGAGAUGGAGAUGUGGUUGUAAAGAAGAUGUUGUUUGAAUGGAAAUUGUACUGUUUUGGUGGUGGCAGUUAAUGUAAGUUGCAGGUGAUAUUGAGUUGGAUUGGCAGUGCAAUGAAGGAGUUAUGGCUAGUUUUGUGUUGGAUUGCAGAGGGCAUGAAUGAAUGGUGUAGGUCUGUAAAAUAAUAUUAAAGAAUGGAUUGCUAGGUGGUUAUGGUUUUAGUGCAGAGAAAGAGUAGAGUUAUGUGUUAAGGUUGUGAUUACAGAAGUGAAGAUGUUGCAGAAGACUUGGAUGAAUCAAGUGUUUGGUUUUAGUUAUUGCAGAUGUAACUUAUGGAUGUAAUGGGGUUGCUUGACAGUACAGUUUAGAGUUUGAGUUGAAGGGGUUAAUUGAUGCAGUUAGAAUUGUGGUUGAUGUUUAGAGGAAUAUAUUAAGUCGAAGCUUUUUAGUGGAAGCUUGGAACUGCAAUUGCAGUUUUUCAGUAACUUGAAGGAAUGGAGCGCUCGAAGAUAUCUGUUUCGUAGCUUAGAGUUUUAUGGAAUCUAGUGUUGUUGUGCAUCUUUUACUAUAUGUAUUCUUUCUUAUUUUGUAAACAACACAUUUAUAUAUUCUUAGAACUCGAAAGACUUUCAUUUAUAUAAUAUCAGAGAGUUUGGGUUUUGUUAUUU